rnacentral:rRNA from 1 species
GAUGAACGCUGGCGGCGUGCCUAAUACAUGCAAGUCGAGCGAACAGACGAGGAGCUUGCUCCUCUGACGUUAGCGGGGGACGGGUGAGUAACACGUGGAUAACCUACCUAUAAGACUGGGAUAACUUCGGGAAACCGGAGCUAAUACCGGAUAAUAUAUUGAACCGCAUGGUUCAAUAGUGAAAGACGGUUUUGCUGUCACUUAUAGAUGGAUCCGCGCCGCAUUAGCUAGUUGGUAAGGUAACGGCUUACCAAGGCAACGAUGCGUAGCCGACCUGAGAGGGUGAUCGGCCACACUGGAACUGAGACACGGUCCAGACUCCUACGGGAGGCAGCAGUAGGGAAUCUUCCGCAAUGGGCGAAAGCCUGACGGAGCAACGCCGCGUGAGUGAUGAAGGUCUUCGGAUCGUAAAACUCUGUUAUUAGGGAAGAACAAAUGUGUAAGUAACUAUGCACGUCUUGACGGUACCUAAUCAGAAAGCCACGGCUAACUACGUG